AGUGAACGCUGGCGGUAGGCCUAACACAUGCAAGUCGAACGGCAGCACAGUAAGAGCUUGCUCUUACGGGUGGCGAGUGGCGGACUGGUGAGGAAUACAUCGGAAUCUACUUUUUCGUUGGGGAUAGCGUAUGGAAACUUACGCUAAUACCGCAUACGACCUACGGGUGAAAGCAGGGGAUCUUCGGACCUUGCGCGUUUGAAUGAGCCGCUGUCGGAUUAGCUAGUUGGCGGGGUAAAGGCCCACCAAGGCGACGAUCCGUAGCUGGUCUGAGAGGAUGAGCAGCCACACUGGAACUGAGACACGGGCCAGACUCCUACGGGAGGCAGCAGUGGGGAAUAUUGGAAAAUGGGCGCAAGCCUGAUCCAGCCAUAACGCGUGGGUGAAGAAGGCCUUCGGGUUGUAAAGCCCUUUUGUUGGGAAAGAAAAGCAGCAGGUUAAUACCCCGCUGUUCUGACGGUACACAAAGAAUAAGCACCGGCUAACUUCGUG
rnacentral:rRNA from 1 species